rnacentral:rRNA from 1 species
UACGUAGGUGGCGAGCGUUGUCCAGAUUUACUGGGCGUAAAGGGAGCGUAGGCGGACUUUUAAGUGAGAUGUGAAAUACUCGGGCUCAACUUGAGUGCUGCAUUUCAAACUGGAAGUCUAGAGUGCAGGAGAGGAGAAUGGAAUUCCUAGUGUAGCGGUGAAAUGCGUAGAGAUUAGGAAGAACACCAGUGGCGAAGGCGAUUCUCUGGACUGUAACUGACGCUGAGGCUCGAAAGCGUGGGGAGCAAACAGG